rnacentral:snRNA from 1 species
GGAUGUGAGGGCGAUCUGGCUGCGACAUCUGUCACCCCAUUGAUCGCCAGGGUUGAUUCGGCUGAUCUGGCUGACUAGGCGGGUGUCCCCUUCCUCCCUCACCGCUCCAUGUGCGGACCGACCAUCCCCGAUAGAGGAGGACCGUUCUUCGGUCAAGGGUAUACGAGUAGCUGCGCUUCCCUGCUAGAACCUCCAAACAAGCUCUCAAGAGGCAGAGAUUGGGAGGAUUGGAGUUCAUGAGACCCUAUCUCAAACAAACAAAAAAACAAACAAUGU